GAAGGAUCAUUGUCGUCGCCUUCGGAUAACACGACCCGCGAACGCGUAACAUAAAGUUGUCGGGUUGGAGCAGUCCUUCUCGGCCCCACCGGCCUCGGCCCCUCGGUGCUCGGGUGCGAGCUCGUGCAUUGUCGGUCGGGCGUCGGAAAACGGCGCUGGAUGUCGCCAAGGAACAUGAAAUUGCUGAGGCGGAUGUUUGUGAUCUGUCGAGGCUAAGGAAACAUUAUGACUCUCGGCAACGGAUAUCUCGGCUCUCGCAUCGAUGAAGAACGUAGCGAAAUGCGAUACGUGGUGUGAAUUGCAGAAUCCCGUGAACCAUCAAGUAUUUGAACGCAAGUUGCGCCCGAGGGACCCUCCCGAGGGCACGCCUGCUUGGGCGUUAGAAGCCCAACAACGCUCGAUCGCAUCUCGAGGGAUCGAUGCGGACAUUGGCUCUCCGAGCUGCUAGCGGCGCGGUGGGCCCAAGUGUAAGGCUGUCGGAUGGGGUCGGGAGCGGCGAGUGGUGGGCUUCUGCGCACGUCGGCUCCCCUCCUUGUGUCGGCGGAGGGCCCUUCUUCGACCCCCAAAUGAGGAGAAUGUCGUGUCGCGGCAUUCUCCGGAUCGAUACCCCAGGUC
rnacentral:sRNA from 1 species